rnacentral:tRNA from 1 species
GUUAAGAUGGCAGAGCCUGGCUAAUGCAAAAGACCUAAGACCUUUUAACCAGAGGUUCAAAUCCUCUUCUUAACU